UUGCAGAAUAAAAAAACCCUUCACCUGGCUGUGGUCAGUAAUCCUCCGGUCCGGACUGUGACAGCUCUUUAAACUGUUUCUCUGUCGGCACAUGAACAACAGUUUGUGCCUUUUUUAAACCAAACAUCAUCAUUAUUGUAAUAUAAUCAUCAGACUGUCAGACAAACUGUCGUUAGCUUCAGUCUCCGGUUAACCGUUUAACCGGUUACAGCUCGUUAGCCUGUUAGCUCGUUAGCCUGCUAGCCGUCUCCUUUUGUCUCUCCAGCAGGUUAGCUCGCAGGCUUUCACAUCUUCUCUGGAUUAGCUGGUUAUUCCGCUUUUUGGUUUAAUUUGUUUUAUUUCGCCUGACAGAAGCUCAGCACACCAAGAUAGGCGGCUUGGGAACCAAGAUGUCCAACCGACCUGUGUGCAGAGAAGCAAGUCACGCCGGGAGCUGGUACUCUGCCUCGGGAUCCCAGCUGAACGCUCAACUAGAAGGCUGGCUGUCCAAAGCCGAGUCCUCCAUCAGACCUGCUCGAGCCAUCAUAGCACCGCAUGCCGGGUACACCUACUGUGGCGCUUGUGCAGCACACGCCUACAAGCAGGUCGAUCCCUCUGUUACUCGUAGGGUGUUCAUCCUGGGACCUUCACACCACGUGCCCCUCUCCCGCUGUGCCCUGUCGCCCGCAGACGUCUACAGAACGCCUCUCUACGACCUGAGAAUCGACCAGAAGGUUUACUCCGACCUCUGGAAAACCGGGUUGUUCGAGCGGAUGAGCAUCCAGACAGAUGAAGACGAGCACAGUAUCGAGAUGCACUUGCCUUACACUGCUAAAGCCAUGGAGAGCCACAAAGACGAGUUCAGCAUCGUCCCUGUGCUGGUGGGCGCCCUGAGCGAGUCCAGGGAACAGGAGUACGGGAAACUGCUCAGCAAAUACCUGGCCGACCCCUCCAACCUUUUCAUCAUCUCCUCCGACUUCUGCCACUGGGGUCAGCGGUUCCGCUACACGUACUACGAUGAGGCUCAGGGGGAGAUCUACAGGUCCAUUGAACAUCUGGAUAGAAUGGGGAUGGGCAUUAUAGAACAGCUGGACCCGAUGUCUUUCACCAACUACUUGAAGAAGUACCGCAACACCAUCUGUGGGCGCCACCCCAUCGGAGUGCUGCUAAAUGCCGUGGCCGAGCUGAGGAAGUCGGGAUUAGAAAUGAACUUCUCGUUCCUGAACUACGCCCAGUCGAGUGAGUGCAGGAACUGGCAGGACAGCUCUGUGAGCUACGCUGCCGGGGCGCUCAUCGUCCAUUGAGGUCGACCGUCGCAGGGGGGCAAAGCAAUGCCGCGGCCCUGCCCUUACUAUCUCUCGCCAUAACACCCCCUUCCCCCCCUCUCUCUCUCUCUUAGCCCCGCCCACUUCCCCGUUACGCCCACUUUUUGCAGGAAGGACCUAGAUGCUCAAAGCCAUAUCUCUCUCUCUCUCUCUCUGUCUCUCUCUCUCUCUCUGUCUCUCUCUCUCUGUCUCUCUCUCUCUCUCUCUCUCUCUCUGUCUCUCUCUCUCUCUCUGUCUCUCUCUCUCUCUCUCUCUGUCUCUCUCUCUCUCUUUCUCUCUCUCUCUGUCUCUCUCUCUCUCUGUCUCUCUCUCUCUCUCUCUCUCUGUCUCUCUCUCUCUGUCUCUCUCUCUCUCUGUCUCUCUCUCUCUCUCUCUAUCUAUCUCUCUCUCUGUCUCUCUCUCUCUCCCUGUC